rnacentral:rRNA from 1 species
UACGUAGGGUGCGAGCGUUGUCCGGAAUUAUUGGGCGUAAAGAGCUCGUAGGCGGUUUGUCGCGUCGAAUGUGAAAACCCGGGGCUCAACCCCGGGCCUGCAUUCGAUACGGGCAGACUAGAGUUCGGUAGGGGAGUCUGGAAUUCCUGGUGUAGCGGUGAAAUGCGUAGAUAUCGAGAGGAACACCUGCGGCGAAGGCGGGUUGCUGGGCCGACACUGACGCUGAUGCGCGAAAGCCAGGGGAGCGAACGGG